CUCUGGGUCCCUCUCUUAGUUUCUGUCUCUCUCUCUCUGGGUCUUUCUCUCAGUCUCUGUCUCUCCGAAUCUAUGUUUGUCCCAUGGCUGACAUCUAUCGUGUGCCCCACUCUGCUUCCUUCGUUCCUCCGCUUGCUCUGCCUUCCAACUCUCGGUCUUUCUUGUCCCCCAAACCGACCCCAUCACUGGUUUGGCAGCAGAGUUUGUCCCUCCUCCGCAGCCGCCCUCUCCCCGCCUCCCGUGACGUGUCCCGGGACUCCCCGCCCCGGGCUGGGCUGCGAAGUUGCGGAUCCGGUUUGGUCGGGCGGGUCGGCGGCUGGAGGAAAUACACGGAGCCUCAGGGGCUGCGGCAGCAGCAUGGUGGGGCCGGAGAAGGAGCAGAGCUGGAUCCCUAAGAUCUUCAGGAAGAAGGUGUGCACGACGUUCAUAGUGGACCUCUCCGAUGAUGCGGGAGGGACCUUGUGCCAGUGUGGGCAACCUCGGGAUGCCCACCCUUCUGUGGCUGUGGAGGAUGCCUUUGGGGCAGCCGUAGUUACCGAGUGGAACAGUGAUGAGCACACCACGGAGAAGCCCACAGAUGCCUAUGGGGACCUGGACUUCACGUACUCUGGCCGAAAGCACAGCAACUUUCUCCGGCUGUCUGACCGCACGGAUCCGGCCACUGUGUACAGUCUCGUUACCCGCUCUUGGGGCUUUCGUGCCCCAAACUUGGUGGUGUCGGUGCUGGGGGGGUCGGGGGGCCCCGUGCUCCAGACCUGGCUGCAGGACCUUCUGCGUCGCGGGCUGGUGAGAGCCGCCCAGAGCACAGGGGCCUGGAUCGUCACUGGGGGACUGCACACAGGCAUUGGCCGGCACGUGGGUGUGGCUGUAAGGGACCACCAGACAGCCAGCACUGGGAGCAGCAAGGUGGUGGCCAUGGGUGUGGCCCCCUGGGGAGUGGUCCGGAACAGAGACAUGCUGAUCAACCCCAAGGGCUCAUUCCCCGCAAGGUACCGGUGGCGUGGUGACCCUGAGGAUGGUGUUGAGUUCCCCCUGGACUAUAACUAUUCUGCUUUCUUCUUGGUGGAUGAUGGCACCUAUGGCCGCCUGGGUGGUGAGAACCGCUUCCGCCUUCGGUUUGAGUCCUAUGUGGCUCAGCAGAAGACCGGAGUGGGAGGGACUGGAAUUGACAUCCCAGUGCUCCUUCUUCUCAUCGAUGGAGAUGAGAAGAUGUUAAAGCGGAUAGAGGAUGCCACCCAAGCUCAGCUCCCCUGCCUCUUGGUGGCGGGCUCUGGGGGUGCUGCAGACUGUCUGGUGGAGACCCUGGAAGAUACUCUGGCCCCAGGGAGUGGGGGACUUAGGCGAGGCGAAGCCCGGGAUCGGAUUAGGCGAUACUUCCCUAAAGGAGACCCUGAGGUUCUUCAGGCCCAGGUAGAGAGGAUCAUGACCCGAAAGGAGUUGCUGACGGUCUAUUCAUCAGAAGACGGCUCCGAGGAGUUUGAGACUAUCGUUUUGAGGGCUCUUGUGAAAGCCUGUGGGAGCUCUGAGGCCUCAGCCUACCUGGAUGAGCUGCGUUUGGCUGUGGCUUGGAACCGCGUGGACAUCGCCCAAAGUGAACUUUUCCGUGGGGACAUCCAAUGGCGGUCCUUCCACCUGGAGGCAUCUCUCAUGGAUGCUCUGCUGAAUGACCGGCCUGAAUUUGUGCGCCUGCUCAUCUCCCAUGGCCUUAGCCUGGGACACUUCCUGACCCCCGUGCGUCUGGCCCAGCUGUACAGCGCGGUGUCCCCUAACUCACUGAUCCGAAAUCUUCUGGACCAGGCGUCCCAUGCUAGUAGCAGCAAAUCCCCUCCUGUAAAUGGAACUGUAGAGCUCCGGCCUCCCAAUGUGGGGCAAGUGCUGAGGACUCUGUUGGGAGAAACGUGUGCACCACGGUACCCUGCCAGGAACACCCGAGACUCCUAUCUGGGCCAGGACCACAGAGAGAAUGACUCUCUGCUUAUGGACUGGGCCAACAAGCAACCAUCAACGGAUGCAAGCUUUGAACAAGCCCCCUGGAGUGACCUGCUUAUUUGGGCUCUGUUGCUGAACCGGGCCCAGAUGGCUAUCUAUUUCUGGGAGAAGGGCUCCAACUCAGUGGCCUCUGCUCUUGGGGCUUGUCUUUUACUCCGAGUGAUGGCUCGCCUAGAGUCGGAGGCUGAGGAGGCCGCGCGGCGGAAGGAUCUUGCUGCCACGUUUGAAAGCAUGAGCGUGGACCUCUUUGGAGAGUGUUACCACAACAGUGAAGAGCGAGCAGCCCGCCUUCUUCUGCGCCGCUGUCCCCUCUGGGGAGAGGCCACCUGCCUCCAGCUUGCCAUGCAGGCUGAUGCCCGAGCGUUCUUUGCCCAGGAUGGAGUCCAGUCUCUUCUGACACAGAAGUGGUGGGGGGAGAUGGACAGCACAACUCCCAUCUGGGCCCUGCUUCUCGCCUUCUUCUGCCCGCCUCUCAUCUACACCAACCUUAUCGUCUUCAGGAAGUCAGAGGAGGAGCCCACACAGAAGGAUCUUGACUUUGAUAUGGACAGCAGCAUCAAUGGAGCAGGUCCUCCUGGGACUGUAGAACCCUCUGCAAAGGUGGCCCUUGAGAGGCGGCAGCGGCGACGGCCAGGACGUGCCCUCUGCUGUGGCAAGUUCUCCAAGCGCUGGUCGGACUUCUGGGGUGCCCCAGUGACUGCCUUCCUGGGUAAUGUGGUCAGUUACCUGCUGUUCCUGCUGCUGUUUGCCCACGUGUUGCUGGUGGAUUUCCAGCCCACAAAGCCAAGUGUCUCCGAGCUGCUGCUGUACUUCUGGGCCUUCACGUUGCUGUGCGAGGAGCUGCGCCAGGGCCUGGGUGGUGGCUGGGGUAGCCUGGCCAGUGGGGGACGUGGUCCGGACAGAGCUCCCCUGCGCCAUCGGCUGCACCUCUACCUCUCAGAUACCUGGAACCAAUGUGACCUGCUGGCACUCACCUGCUUCCUGCUGGGCGUAGGCUGCCGGCUGACCCCUGGGCUCUUUGACUUGGGACGCACCGUCCUCUGCCUUGACUUCAUGAUCUUCACACUGCGCCUGCUGCACAUCUUCACGGUGAACAAGCAGCUGGGGCCCAAGAUUGUCAUAGUGAGCAAAAUGAUGAAGGAUGUAUUCUUCUUCCUCUUCUUCCUCUGCGUGUGGCUUGUAGCUUAUGGGGUGGCCACAGAGGGGAUCCUGAGGCCCCAGGACCGCAGUCUACCGAGUAUCCUGCGCAGGGUCUUCUACCGACCGUAUCUGCAGAUCUUCGGACAAAUUCCCCAGGAGGAAAUGGACGUGGCCCUCAUGAUUCCAGGUAACUGCUCAAUGGAGCGGGGCUCCUGGGCUCAUCCGGAGGGGCCCGUCGCAGGCUCCUGUGUGUCCCAGUAUGCCAACUGGCUGGUGGUGUUGCUCCUUAUCGUCUUCUUGCUGGUGGCCAAUAUCCUGUUGCUCAACCUGCUCAUCGCCAUGUUCAGCUACACCUUCAGCAAAGUGCACGGCAACAGCGACCUCUACUGGAAGGCACAGCGCUACAGCCUCAUCCGGGAAUUCCAUUCGAGGCCUGCCCUGGCCCCACCCCUCAUCAUCAUCUCUCAUGUGCGCCUCCUCAUCAAGUGGCUGCGCAGGUGUCGCAGGUGUCGCAGGGCUAACUUGCCCGCCUCCCCAGUCUUCGAGCACUUCCGUGUCUGUCUCUCUAAGGAAGCAGAGCGGAAGCUGCUGACUUGGGAGUCUGUGCACAAAGAGAACUUCCUGUUGGCACAAGCUCGGGACAAGCGAGACAGUGACUCGGAGCGUUUGAAACGCACGUCUCAGAAGGUGGACACUGCACUGAAGCAGCUGGGACAGAUCAGAGAGUACGAUCGGCGUCUGAGGGGGCUGGAGAGAGAGGUCCAACACUGUUCUCGAGUCCUGACUUGGAUGGCUGAGGCCCUUAGCCACUCUGCCUUGCUGCCUCCAGGGGCCCCACCCCCUCCGAGCCCCACUGGUUCCAAAGGUUACAAUCCAUCAGUGAGGGAAACAGGGAGAGAGCGUGGACGUUCUCACCUAUAACCAGAAAGCUCACAGCCAAAGAAACGCACCAGAAGCCACGAACAACGCUGUUCGCUGGACCACAGCACCUUCCGUCCAGCCAGCUUCAGCAAACAGUUCAGGACUCCUCACCCCAGGAAAUGGGGUUGCCCACAGUGGCCUGGGCCUUUCUACACCAAUUGGCAAUCAAGAUAAUGCCCCCCAGACAUGCCCACAGACUGAGUGUUCCUGGUGGAUGUCUAGGUGUUUGCAUCCAGAGAGGGUUCAUUCCUCAAGCUGGGCCCAGUCUGCCUCAAGCGACACAACUGGUGGCCUUAUCCUCACCACGAAUCCCAUGCUUAUGGGUUGCUGUCCAGACACACUGCGAGUAUCACCGAGGGACUCCUUCCCAGAGCAGCCUCACCUUGGGUGAAUCAAGCUCUGAGCUGGCAAAGUUGGCCUCUUUGUGGGCCCAGCCACACAGCAGAGGAAGCAGGAGGGUCCUGGGGUGCAGGAACCACAGACCCUACACACAGCUUCCCCACAAUGGGGAAAUAAAACCAUUUGAUGAGGAUUUUCGCA